AACGGGCCUACCAAGGCUAUGAUGGGUAGCCGGCCUUAGCGGGUGUCCGGCCACACUGGGACUGAGAUACGGCCCAGACUCCUACGGGAGGCGGCAGUCGAGAGGCUUCUACAAUGGGGGAAACCCUGAUAGAGCGACGCCGCGUGGGUGAUGAAGGCCUUCGGAUCGUAAAGCCCUUUCAGUAGGGAAGAAGGAUUCUUGUGCUAAUACCACAAGUUUCAAGACGGUACCUACAGAAGAAGCUCCGGCUAACUCCGUGCCAGCAGCCGCGGUAAGACGGAGGGAGCAAGCGUUGUUCGGAUUUACUGGGCGUAAAGGGCGUCUAGGCGGGCCAGCAAGUCAGAUGUGAAAUCCCCCGGCUCAACCGGGGAGCUGCAUUUGAUACUGCUAGUCUUGAGUACGGAAGAGGGAGGCGGAAUUCCUGGUGUAGCGGUGAAAUGCGUAGAUAUCAGGAAGAACACCGGUGGCGAAGGCGGCCUCCUGGUCCGAUACUGACGCUAAAGCGCGAAAGUGUGGGGAGCAAACAGGAUUAGAUACCCUGGGUAGUC
rnacentral:rRNA from 1 species